rnacentral:misc_RNA from 1 species
AGCGCACAUUGCGCCCCUUGGUAUUCCGAGGGGCAUGCCUGUUCGAGCGUCAUUACAACCCUCAAGCACUGCUUGGUCUUGGGCUCCGCUGCCAACCCGGCGGGCCUUAAAAUGAGUGGCGGCGCCAUCGGGCUCUGAGCGUAGUAAAUUUCCUCGCUACGGAGUCCUGGUGACGGUGGCCAUCAACCCCCAACUUUCUACGUUUGACUUCGGAUCAGGUAGGGAUACCCGCUGAACUUAA